rnacentral:lncRNA from 1 species
UUCCUUCCCUUUUUGGGGGGGGGUCACUUCUUUUUGGCCCCCCCCCCCACCUCUUCGGCCGCCCCCCCUCGGCGGCUGCCUGGGCUGCCCGGCGGCGCUCCUGAGAGGCGGCCACGUCUUCGGGGGUCACCCGUGGCUGCACUCGGAUGCCGAGGCUGCGGGCGGUGCCCAACACGGAGCCCACGAAGGCUCUGACGGAGCCCCCCCCCCCUCCGGCGCAGCUCUUCGUCCCCCCCCCACCGCGCCGCCGCCACCUCGUAGAUGUGCUUCAGGGACAGCAGCCCCCCCUCCUCGUGCC